rnacentral:misc_RNA from 1 species
CCAGAGCGUUGGAGGGGAACCACCAGCCACCUCUAUUCUAUUUAAGCAGCCCCCCUGCUUCACUCGCUCAUCACUCACCAAGAACCAGAGAGGAGCUUCAUCAGCUCAUUCAAUUCUCGUUCCAUCCCUCGUCUCUUGUGUCCCGCCUCCGUUCCAUAAUUCACCAGCGUCGUCCUACCCAUAUCUCCCAUCGUCUUCUCCCUCGCGCCAUCAGCUUCCCCAAGCCAGCGGCGACCAUGAUCUCCCCGGACACCAUCCGCACGGCCAUCGGCGUCAUCGGCAAUGGAACUGCACUCGUGCUCUUCCUCUCCCCAGUGCCUACGUUCAUCCGCAUCUGGAAGAAAGGGUCGGUGGAGCAGUACUCGCCGAUCCCGUACGUGGCGACGCUGCUGAACUGCAUGAUGUGGGUGCUGUACGGGCUGCCGGCGGUGCACCCGCACAGCAUGCUGGUGAUCACCAUCAACGGCACCGGCAUGGCGAUCCAGCUGACCUACGUGGCGCUCUUCCUCCUCUACUCGGUGGGGGCUGCGCGGCGCAAGGUGGUCCUGCUGCUGGCCGCCGAGGUGGGCUUCGUCGGCGCCGUCGCCGCGCUGGUGCUCAGCCUGGCGCACACGCACGAGCGCAGGUCCAUGGUGGUCGGCAUCCUCUGCGUCCUCUUCGGCACCGGCAUGUACGCCGCCCCGCUCUCCGUCAUGAAAAUGGUGAUCCAGACAAAGAGCGUGGAGUACAUGCCCCUGUUCCUGUCGCUGGCUUCCCUCGUGAAUGGCAUCUGCUGGACUGCUUACGCGCUCAUCCGCUUCGACCUCUACAUUACUAUCCCCAACGGGCUGGGCGUGCUGUUCGCGGUGGCGCAGCUGGUGCUGUACGCCAUCUACUACAAGUCCACCCAGGAGAUCAUCGAGGCGCGCAAGCGCAAGGCCGACCAGAUCGCCAUGACCGGGGUGGUCGUCGACGGCGGCAAGACCAACAACCAAGCCGGCGCGGGCCAAUACUGACCGACGAUCAAGUGACGAUCGACACCAAUAUGCUCAAGCAAGAAGCCAGCGGCAAAUCAAUUAUGUCGCCGCUGGGUUUUAUGUAUUUUGUGAUUCUAUAUGCACGCUGCUUGUCCGUCCCGGCCAAUGGAAAAAAAAGGGGGAAGAAAAAAUGUCUGUCGGUAUAUGUGUUCUCGCCGAAUAACUCUCGCGCAUAGCUAGCUGGUGGGGCUGAGUCACUGCCUUCGCUAUAUGUAUACGUGCAAAAAUUAGAGGUGGAGGGUUGUUUUAGCUAAUCCCACCUUAAUUCCAAGGCAGAGUGACCUUUUUUUUUCUCCUUCUGUUUCGGCUAGGAUUUUGCUAUAAUUGAGCAAUUUAGCGCGACUUGUUAUUGGUGUUGGUGUGUCUCAAUCAAAUAGUAAAAUGUUCAUUUUACUCUUUCAAUCGCAUCACACGGUCUCUCCUUGUUAUCUUGUGGGUGUUUGCAUUAUUAGUAGAAAAAAAGUAUUAUGAU